UACGAAGGGGGCAAGCGUUGUUCGGAAUUACUGGGCGUAAAGGGCGCGUAGGCGGUUUAUCAAGUCAGGCGUGAAAUUCCCGGGCUCAACCUGGGGGCUGCGCUUGAUACUGAUGAGCUUGAAUGCGGGAGAGGAUAGUGGAAUUCCCAGUGUAGAGGUGAAAUUCGUAGAUAUUGGGAAGAACACCGGUGGCGAAGGCGGCUAUCUGGCCCGUAAUUGACGCUGAGGCGCGAAAGCGUGGGGAGCAAACAGG
rnacentral:rRNA from 1 species